ACCGUGAGGGAAAGGUGAAAAGUACCCCGGGAGGGGAGUGAAAAAGAACCUGAAACCUUGUGCCUACAAGCACCGAGAGUCCGUUAAAGGAUGAUCGGGUACUUUUUGUAGAACGGUCCGGCGAGUUAAUAUUUGCAGCGAGGUUAAGGAACUGGAGUUCCGGAGCCGCAGCGAGAGCGAGUCUGAAAAGGGCGUAUGAAGUUGCAGGUAUUAGACCCGAAACCGGGUGACCUAUCCAUGAGCAGGCUGAAGCGGUGGUAAGACACCGUGGAGGGCCGCACCCACGUCUGUUGAAAAAGCCGGGGAUGACUUGUGGAUAGCGGAGAAAUUCCAAUCGAACUCGGAGAUAGCUGGUUCUCCCCGAAAUAGCUUUAGGGCUAGCGUUAUUUUAGAUUACCGGAGGUAAAGCACUGAAUGGUCUAGGGGCCGCGAGGUUACCAAAGCCUAUCAAACUCUGAAUGCCGGAUAAUUGAUGAAUAGCAGUCAGACUGUGUGAGAUAAGUCUCAUAGUCAAAAGGGAAACAGCCCAGAUCUACAGCUAAGGUCCCAAAUGAACACUAAGUGGAAAAUGAUGUGAAACUGCGAAGACAACCAGGAUGUUGGCUUAGAAGCAGCCACUCAUUCAAAGAGUGCGUAAUAGCUCACUGGUCGAGUGGUUUUGCGCAGAAAAUGUAACGGGGCUAAGUGUUCAACCGAAGCUUAGGCAUUGCAGUAAUGCAUUGGGUAGGGGAGCGUCGUAUGCGGGGCGAAGUCAGAGCGGAAGCACUGGUGGACUGCAUACGAGUGAGAAUGCCGGAAUAAGUAGCGAGAAUUAUGUGAGAAUCAUAAUGGCCGAAAAUCUAAGGUUUCUUGGGGAAGGUUCGUCCGCCCAAGGUUAGUCGGGAGCUAAGCUCAGGCCGAAAGGCGUAGGCGAUGCACAUACGGUAGAAAUUCCGUAACCACCGAACAUUUAAGCUAGAGGGACGCUUUCAUUAAGUCUAUCCCGGGCGAUGGUUGCCCCGGGCGUAAGGGACCGAAAUUUAGUAGGGAAGUAGACGGCGUGAGAGACGAGAAAAGCUCUAGUGUAUACUAAGGUGCCCGUACCGCAAACCGACACAGGUAGAUGGGAUGAGUAUUCUAAGGCCAACGGGAGAAGGGUUGUUAAGGAACUCGGCAAAUUGGCCCCGUAACUUCGGGAUAAGGGGCGCCUGCGAGAGCAGGCCGCAGUGAAAAGGCCCAAGCGACUGUUUAGCAAAAACACAGCUCUCUGCUAAAUCGAAAGAUGACGUAUAGGGGGUGACGCCUGCCCGGUGCUGGAAGGUUAAGGGGAGUGCUUAGCGCAAGCGAAGGUGCGAACUUAAGCCCCAGUAAACGGCGGCCGUAACUAUAACGGUCCUAAGGUAGCGAAAUUCCUUGUCAGGUAAGUUCUGACCCGCACGAAUGGCGUAACGAUUUGGGCACUGUCUCAACAGCCCGCCCGGCGAAAUUGUAGUACCGGUGAAGAUGCCGGUUUCCCGCAACUAGACGGAAAGACCCCAUGGAGCUUCACUGUAGCUUGAUAUUGGAUCUCGGUAUUCCAUGUACAGGAUAGGUGGGAGACUUGGAAGUAAGCGCGCCAGCGUUUAUGGAGUCAACCUUGGGAUACCACUCUUGGGAUAUUGGGAUUCUAACCUGCGACCAUGAAUCUGGUCGGGGGACACUGUCAGGUGGGCAGUUUGACUGGGGCGGUCGCCUCCAAAAGAGUAACGGAGGCGCUCAAAGGUUCGUUCAGCACGGAUGGAAAUCGUGCACUGAGUGUAAACGCAUAAACGAGCCUAACUGCGAGAAUGACGGUUCGAGCAGUAACGAAAGUUGGAGUUAGUGAUCCGGCGGUAUGUGAAUGGAAAUGCCGUCGCUCAACGGAUAAAAGCUACCCUGGGGAUAACAGGCUGAUCUCCCCCAAGAGUUCACAUCGACGGGGAGGUUUGGCACCUCGAUGUCGGCUCAUCGCAUCCUGGGGCUGAAUUCGGUCCCAAGGGUUUGGCUGUUCGCCAAUUAAAGCGGUACGCGAGCUGGGUUCAGAACGUCGUGAGACAGUUCGGUCCCUAUCUGUUGCGGGCGCAGGAAUAUUGAGAGGAGCUGUCCUUAGUACGAGAGGACCGGGAUGGACGUACCGCUGGUGCACCAGUUGUUCUGCCAAGGGCAUAGCUGGGUAGCUAAGUACGGACGAGAUAAACGCUGAAGGCAUCUAAGCGUGAAACU
rnacentral:rRNA from 1 species